AAACAAUCAUCAUCAUCACAGUAGUUCUGAAUGAAAAGAAUAAAAACCACAAGAAGACGAAUGUUAGAAAGUGAAUCAAAAUCUUUUCUGAUUUCUUUGAUGUUAAAACCAAAUAAUUCAAUGUAUAUUCAUAAACAUAGAGGCAGAGGAGUAAAUGGGACACCUUACUGAGAUGGAAGCUGGAGGUAGUGAUCUAGGCCUUGAAUAUGGAAUCUGAAGUCUCAAAGUUAUAUCUAUUGUACAGAAAUUCAGUUCAAUUCAAGUGGCAUUUAUCUUGUUGGAUACAAUGUUUCAACUUUUUAACAUGUAUUUGUAUUGUUUCUCGUUGCAAUGCGGAAACGGAUUUUGAUAUGUUGAAUGCGUUGGUCGCUGAAUCUUGGAAGCUCCUGCUACGCGUACGACCUUUGUUGUGGAAGAGCUGUUGCCAAGCCGCAAGAUUCCCAGGCUAAGCUUAAGAACAUUGUGCAAACGAUCAGCAAUUUUGAACGUCCCACCAAAAAACAAAAGCUCUCAGGACCAGAACUGCCAUAUUAAAUCAUUUAAGGCAUUUUUAAAAGCAGUUUAAUUCUUCCUGAAAAGCUCACCAGAGCUGGAUUCUUUCUUAUUUUCCAGUUUUCCAACUGUACGAUUCUUGAGAAAAAGAAAGCUACUCCUAAUACAAUAACCUACAUGAAAUGAAAACUUUCUAAAUACAAAAAGACUAACUAGACACUAAAAUGAAUCAUCUGACACGGUUUAGGAUUCCCUACAAUAAUAAUACAUGGAUCCACCAGCAAAUUCUAUAUACAGAAGACUACGUCUUACAAUAACUUAUUAACACGGUCGUUCAAGAUUCCUGUAAAAAAUGCAUGGUCCCCGCACAAUUUGCUCCACAAACUUGUCCCCAUUGAGAGGCUUUCCAGAUGAGAAUGUCAUCAUAGGCAUUUUCCUGUUUCACGUGUACGCAUCCCUUACUUUUCAGCACCAGUAUCUCAUAGAAGAACCUUGCACUUUCUUUUGUAGUUCUUCCUUCCAGAAGUUGCAGCAAAUUUACUAUUUCAUCCUCUUUUCUGUUCUUUUGAUUUAGAAAACUUCUAUGCAAGCACCUCUCUACCACUCUGGUUCUUUCUGACCAUCCAUAGUGGUCCUGGUUAUGUCCUUCAGAUAAGUUUGUCUCCUGGAGAAGGAGGAAAAGCAAUAUUUUCAUUUCUACAGGUACCUUGAUGCAAAACAUAUCUGGCAUGAUAUUUUGCUUUCUUUAGGUAAUUUUACAUAGCCACCGCUUACCUCAUUCAUCAGAUUGAGAUCAAGUUCUUGUUCUCUGCUAGGAGAUACCUCUUUCUGUGCUCUUGCAGACUCCAGUCCGACUCUAUCUAAAUUAGAAAUUUCAGGACUUUCAAAAGACCUCAGCGAUUUCGUUUGCAGAACAGGUGUUUCAGGAGCAAUUGACAUUUCCUCUAAAGAUCUGCCAGCAGUAGGAGGUAUGUCUAGCUUUUUUGGAGUUUCUGCAGUUUCAUUUAGCCUAUCAACAGUAGGAGAUGCUGAAACAUUCAACUUUUCUAGAGACUUCAUAGUUUCUACCGUUCUACCAUUGAUACAAGAUUUUGACUCAUCUAACUUCUGCAUAGUUUCAACACUUUCUACUGGUCCACCAACCGUUGGACACUCGGACAUGAACUUUUCUGGAAGUUUCUCAGUAUCAAGUGAUUCUGAAAUCUUUAAUUUUUUCAGGCAAAAGAGGGACCUAAGCUCCAAUGAAGCGCCUGUGGAAAACAUGGUUAGAACUCACUAUUAAUACACCGAGUAAAUGAUGACAGUGAACUUACAAGGAAUCAGAGGCUCCAAGAAACACUGAGGAAGACUGGAAACUUGAUGCGCUCUCCAUGCAGCAAGUACAGUAUGAGGAAUUUUUUUUCGUUUACACACCAAAUUACUUGGGUCUUCUAUGUAUUGCUUGAUUACAUUGUUAGGAAAUACUAUCACAUCAUCAAGAAGACACUUUCUUUUCCUUGAAAACCGAGCACCCUCCUUAGCAGCUGGGGUAGGAAUAACCAAAAAUUCUGGAGCAGUAUCUCCUGCAGCAUCUGGGAACUUGGACCGAGGAGUUGUAUCAAGUGUUACAGACAAUGGAUGAUCUUCUGUGAAAACCUCAUGUGUUCUAUUUCCUGGAGACAGCAUUUCAAAUAAUGUUUUGGGUUCUGCACUGUUCUGACACUCUCCAAUAAAUGGCAUAGAGUUUUCUGGGGGGUCCUCAAUCUCUAACAACUUUUUCUGUUCUGCAUCACACUGAUGCUCUUUAUUAAAUGUUCCACCAUGUUCUGAUGGUUCAGCCACACAAAAUAUUUCCACGUCCCUACAUUCUUCUUGAGAGACUAUAAUGUCUCGAAGCUUCUCCACACUUGCUUCGAUAUUACUUAGGUCGUCCUCUUUAAUAACCUGAAGGUUUUCAUUUUCUGAUUGUGCCAUAUCUGGAACCUUUAUCAUUUGUCCAUCAGUUUGAUGAUGUUUGCCAAAGGACUUAAAAGGGUUUUCAGGUUCUUCCUCAACCUCAAUUUCAUUGUUUAUGCAUGCUUCUUGACAGAUACUAUUAUGCCAAAGCAUGUUUGAUUCUGCAUGCAUUUCACCAGAAUCUACCACCUCUAGAACCCUCAUAGUUGCAUGCUCUCCUUUGUUGGGGUGACAUUCACCAAAUGUUUUUACAGGAUCUGGAGGCUCUUCCUCAACUGCAGUGAACAUUUCAAGGUCCAUCGGUUCAUGUAGAGAGGAACUACUGCCCUGAAGUUUCUUUAUGCUAGCUUCUAAGGCGCUUGAAGAUGUUCCUACCUCCAUAUCAAAGCCCAUCAAGUGAGAAGAACGAAUGUCUUCAUUUGGAGUGUAACCCAUGGAGAAAAUAUCCUGACAGGCAGUAAAUUCAUCACAAUGAUACUUGGCUAGAGAGUAUGGCACUAUUUCGCCAGUUUUCCAAAUGCCAUCUUUAAGUGUGAUUUCUUCAUGUGGCAGCACAUUGUCUCCGGUAGUGUCUUCUAGGAUCUCUAGAUCAAAAGCAUCAAGUUCAAAUCUUUCGGGCACAGUAAUAGAGAAGUAAGGUGCACGGAGGGUUUCCACAAGUGCCAUAUCUUUAUUACUAAUGAGAAAUUCCUUGAUUUUAAGCAGCACCUUAUUGCAGUCAUUGAACAAAUAUUCAACCUUUUUGGAGAAUAUUCUGACUAUACCAAGAAGAAGGUAGGCAAGUACCCUAUAUGUGACAACAUCAAAUUCAUCUUGCAAAAUUUUAUCAACAGAAGAGGAGAUGUCAGUCUGAGUGAUCUGCGCUUUCUUGAGUUUGUUAAAGCAGUAAGCGGCCACCCAUAUAGCGCCUAAUGGGCCUUUCCUUGAGAGAAAGCAGUGCGAGUAGAACAUGUCUCCCUUUUGCUUACCUGUUUUGGCUAUCUGUGUGAUGAUUUUCUCAGUGCUUUUGCAAUUCAAAAAUUGCAGAGAGUGAGAUACGGGAAUGGGAGGGGAAGUUAAGACAGAGGAAGAAGAGUGCUUG
rnacentral:misc_RNA from 1 species